rnacentral:rRNA from 1 species
CCCGCACAAGCAGCGGAGCGUGUGGUUUUAAUUCGAUGCUACACGAAGAACCUUACCAGGGUUUUGACAUACAAGUAGUAGGGAAAGGAAACUGGACCGACCUUCGGGGAGCCUAUACAGGUGUUGCAUGGCUGUCGUCAGCUCGUGUCGUGAGAUGUUCGGUUAAGUCCGCUAACGAGCGCAACCCUCGUCGUAUGUUAUAUGUGUCAUACGAGACUGCCGGUAAAAAGCCGGAGGAAGGUGAGGAUGAUGUCAAGUCAGCAUGACCUUUAUAUCCAGGGCUACACACACGCUACAAUGGUCUGUACAAUGGGUAGCCAAGCCGCGAGGCGGAGCCAAUCCUGAAAGCAGGCCUCAGUUCAGAUUGCAGUCUGCAACUCGACUGCAUGAAGCCGGAGUUGCUAGUAACCGCAGGUCAGCAAUACUGCGGUGAAUACGUUCCCGGGUCUU